AAGAUUACCCGCUGAAUUUAAGCAUAUAAUUAAGCGGAGGAAAAGAAACUAACAAGGAUUCCCUCAGUAACUGCGAGUGAAGCGGGAUGAGCUCACACUUAAAAUCUAUCCUUAAUUGGAUCGAAUUGUAGUCUAUAGAGGAUGACACCAGUGAUAAUUACAAGCAAAGUCUUCCUGGAAAGGAGCUGCCAUUGAAGGUGAAAGCCCUGUUCAAUACUUGUAUUUAUAUCACGUACGGUGCGUUUUCGAAGAGUCGGUUUGCUUGGGAGUGCAGGCCAAAGUGGGAGGUAAAAUCCUUCUAAAGCUAAAUAUUGAUCAGACACCGAUAGCGAACAAGUACCGUGAGGGAAAGAUGCAAAGAACUUUGAAAAAAGAGUGAAAAGUACCUGAAAUUGCUGAAAGGGAAGACAUUGAACUUUGUGUGUGACGUUAAACUUGGGAUGGUUGUACACAACUGUCUGCGGUUUAUAUGUUUCCAGUUUACGUGGUUUUAAUUUGAAGUAAAUGGUUUGAUUGGUAGGUAGGUAUAAUUUCGGUUAUACUGUUUAACCUUUCUUAUCCUACUUUGAAUUGGAAUGAGGACCCAAUCUUGUUUGCAUUUAGCCUUAACUGGACUCGCAACAACAUGGACGUAAACAAAAAAGGUUUAAUGGCCCCGUCUUGUAACACGGACCAAGGAGUCUAGCGUAUGCGCGAGUAUUUGGGUGGUAAACCCAUAUGCGAAAUGAAAGUAAAGUUACCGUAAGGUAAUGAGGUGGGACUGUUUUUUAAUAAAGAACAUGCACCAUCGACCGAUCAUGAGCUUCGGCGUAAAGAUUUGAGUUUGAGCGCAGGUGCUGGGACCCGAAAGAUGGUGAACUAUGCCUGAAUAGGUUGAAGUCAGACGAAAGUCUGAUGGAGG
rnacentral:rRNA from 1 species